GCUGUGUGUUAUUUUGAUUUUAAAAAGGUUCCUAAAACAGUUGUUUAUGCUUCAAUUAGACACGCCCAGUAAUCGCAGUUGGCAUCAGGUGGACACCCAUUUUUAGUGGUUCCAGCGUUUGAGGGAGCGAAGAGCGAAGAGUACACUCAAAGGUUCCACAAGUGGAGUGCUGGCCUAGUGGCUUCAGCGUGCAACUCUCAUACAGUAGGUUCCAACGCCGGCUUUGCACCAAUGGACUUUCUUUCUA